rnacentral:rRNA from 1 species
AGUGAACGCUGGCGGUAGGCCUAACACAUGCAAGUCGAACGGUAACAGGUCUUCGGAUGCUGACGAGUGGCGAACGGGUGAGUAAUACAUCGGAACGUGCCUAGUCGUGGGGGAUAACUACUCGAAAGAGUGGCUAAUACCGCAUGAGAUCUACGGAUGAAAGCAGGGGAUCGCAAGACCUUGUGCUACUAGAGCGGCCGAUGGCAGAUUAGGUAGUUGGUGGGAUAAAAGCUUACCAAGACGACGUACUGUAGCUGGUCCGAGUGGACGAUCAGCCACACUGGGACUGAGACACGGACCAGACUCCUACGGGAGGCAGCAGUGGGGAAUUUUGGACAAUGGGCGAAAGCCUGAUCCAGCCAUGCCGCGUGCAGGAUGAAGGCCUUCGGGUUGUAAACUGCUUUUGUACGGAACGAAAAGCCCCGGGUUAAUACCCUGGGGUCAUGACGGUACCGUAAGAAUAAGCACCGGCUAACUACGUGCCAGCCGCCGCGGUAA